GUUUCAGGCAGCUGGAAUAAAGAGAGACAUCGGGGGAAAGCCGCGAGAAGGCCAGCGUCCCUGGCUGGGAGCAGAGCUAGCCGAGUAGGGCGCCCGGCUGUCAAACUGGCCGGCGCAGUGCACGCUGGGCCGCCCCGGAGCGGUCGCAGAGCCCGUCGGGAGUCGUAGUCCGGGACGGGCCCGCGGCAUUGUCCGCGACGCAGCUCGGGAUCCGGGUCGGGGUGUCGGCCGGGUUGCUGCCGGGCACCGUCGAGCGUUAGCCACCCAGCAUUGAGCUGCCAGCGGCUGUUCUCCCUAAGCACCCUCGCUCACGUCGCCUCGCCUCGCCUCGCCUGACCGGCCGCAGCCUUGGAUACCAGCCUUAAAUCGAGCCGACUACGGCCCAGCCCCGCCCGCGGCGAGGAAUCCACUGAAGACCUACAUUUCCCGGAAGGUUAACAGCCCCCUUCUCAGUUUUCCUGCUGCUCCUAUCAGUGACAAAUCAGCGUAUUAGAACAUGCAUGCUGGCUGAUCAUUCUGAUCAAGUCAACAAGCUUCACAACUUACUCAAUGAGGUCGUCCGUGAGAACUUCACUGUUUUACGGGGACAGGAGCUACUUCUUUGCUGAACUGCAUCACGGUUUCAACUGCUGAGGUUUUCUUCAAGCUUUUGCAUUGUUUGGAAUGUGAAGGGCAUGGCCGAGACACACUUUGAGGUUCCCACUGCAUUGUUACACCUCCCCCCUCACUUCAGGGCCAGGUAACACCAAGAAGGACGCCAUGAGAGCGAAGGCCGUUGGGUCACCGCCCUUUGCUCUCGCGCUGCGCGUCUCCCUGCCAUCAACCGCCGCAACUGGCGCUGGGAGCGGUUGAGGGCGGCCGGCCUCGCGCUGGAACCUCGCCCGCCUCAAGGCUCCUGCGGCGGCACACGGGGCAGGCCAGGACCCGCCCUAGGAGGGCCCCGCUGGAGAUGUGGAAAUGGAGGGACGCGGCACCUGGGCGCUUCCUGGGGCCAGACAACGCCCCCUCAUUGGAACCUCCAUGACCCUGCCUCUGAGAAACCAGCGCGUCCGCAACGAUCACUCCUAAUUUUCGGAUUCCUAUCAUCUGUCUCCACGUGAUAACACUGAAGAGCCUUCACAUUGAUGCAGGCCCAGGGCCUCAAGUGCAGAGACUGAGAGCUCUGCAGGACACAGCAUGGAGCCGCCAUUCCUCUACUGGGUGGAGGAGCAUGUGUCCUCUGAACAGGGGAUCCAAGCCCUGAGAUGUUCUUUCUCAGCUGUCAGUGCGGCCCAGGACUUUCUGUGGGGAUGCUCAGACAGCGGGCCGGAGGACUUUUAGCCACCACCUCCCAUGGCCAGUCUUCACAAAUUACCCUUGGCUAAUUUGACUGUCUCUCCUCCUGGGGUCUAGGACUUCAAACAUGUACAGAAGCGAUUGCAGAAUUAAGACAAGACACUUCCACAAUAUAUUUUUUGUAUCACUGGCUCAGAAAAAGACUCAUUCAAAUCCUGUAUCAAAGCCACGUGUGAGAAUCUUGAGAAAGCAUCAGCUGACUGACUUGACAAGGGAGGAAGCAACCAAAAAUUCUGCGCUUCUUCAGUAUCUGAGUAUGAUAUUUUGCUUCAACAUCCCUCUUAGAUGAAGUUAUUGAUUGAAAAUCAUUUAAGUUUGCCCCAUGGUAAAAGAUCAAGUCCUCAGAAAGAUCUCCAAAGUGUUUACGGUUUGUUUUGUUUUGGUAAGUUUACCAUGAUUUUGCUUGAAUUGCUCUCCGUUGAUCUUCUCAGCUAAGAUGGAGGUAGAGAGUUGCACAGUGGAAGAGGGCUGCAUGUAAGAAGGCAGUUCUGUCUCAGAGGACAAAAGGCCUGGGAGCACCCAGACAGACAGUCACUGCAUGGAGGUCACUCCCCUCCCAGUGGCCACUGUGGAGACAUUUCACAGAAAUGCUUGCUGGACCAUUCAGGUUCAGAGUUGGGACAAAACCGAGAACUCAUGGGGAUAUUGGACAGGAGUUAGGAAAUGACCUUCUCACACAACUGGGGCAGUGGGGGAGAACCCUGGGCUUGAGACUUGCAAUCCACCACUUGCCCCUGCCCCUGCCCCUGCAGUGUGGCCGCUGUUACCUUUUCCUGCAACUCUGCCUUCUUGAGUCCAAAUGUCUUCGAAAGGGGCAAAUGCUCGUAAGUGCCGACAGGGUGUGUUUCAGUGAAUGUUUGCAGUGUGCACCGGUCUGGCUGAAGGCCUCUUCCCUUCCCCAACACCCUCCCAUCGUGCAAAAUUACCCUGCCCAGCAGGGAGUGACUUGUGUGUCUCAGAAGAUUUUGUUGCUGUGCUCUGAGUUCUCACUCCUCAUCUCCUUUGACCAGUUUCUUCUAAUACUCCCCUUGUUCACAACACAGAACAUGAGUGCUCUUUCCUAUCAUUUUGACACUAAUAAACGGACAGUGAUUCUCAGUGUGG
rnacentral:lncRNA from 1 species